rnacentral:tRNA from 1 species
UGGGGUAUCGCCAAACGGUAAGGCAACGGCCUCUGACGCCGUCACUCUUGGUUCGAAUCCAGGUACCCCAGCCA